rnacentral:rRNA from 1 species
GACAGAGGAUGCAAGCGUUAUCCGGAAUGAUUGGGCGUAAAGCGUCUGUAGGUGGCUUUUCAAGUCCGCCGUCAAAUCCCAGGGCUCAACCCUGGACAGGCGGUGGAAACUGCCAAGCUGGAGUACGGUAGGGGCAGAGGGAAUUUCCGGUGGAGCGGUGAAAUGCGUAGAUAUCAAGAGGAACACCUGAGGUGAAGACGGGUUGCUGGGCUGACACUGACGCUGAAGCGCGAAAGCCAGGGGAGCAAACGGG